rnacentral:rRNA from 1 species
UACGGAGGGUGCAAGCGUUAUCCGGAUUCACUGGGUUUAAAGGGUGCGUAGGCGGCUUAAUAAGUCAUUGGUGAAAGCUCGCAGCUCAACUGCGAAACUGCCAUUGAAACUGUUUAGCUUGAAUGUGGUUGAAGUGGGCGGAAUACAACAUGUAGCGGUGAAAUGCUUAGAUAUGUUUUAGAACACCGAUUGCGAAGGCAGCUCACUAAGCCAAUAUUGACGCUGAGGCCCGAAAGCGUGGGUAGCAAACAGG